GUGCUCACUUUAGCAGCACAUAUAUAUAAAACUGGAAUGAUACAGAGAAGAUUAGCACGGCCCCUGUGCAAGGAGGACAUGGAAAUUCGUGAAGCGUUCCAUAUUAAA